rnacentral:rRNA from 1 species
AGCGAACGCUGGCGGCAGGCUUAACACAUGCAAGUCGAGCGGGCAUCCUUGUGGUGUCAGCGGCAGACGGGUGAGUAACGCGUGGGAACGUGCCCUUCGGUUCGGAAUAACUCAGGGAAACUUGAGCUAAUACCGGAUACGUGCGAGAGCAGAAAGGUUUAUCUGCCGAAGGAUCGGCCCGCGUCUGAUUAGCUAGUUGGUGAGGUUACGGCUCACCAAGGCGACGAUCAGUAGCUGGUCUGAGAGGAUGAUCAGCCACACUGGGACUGAGACACGGCCCAGACUCCUACGGGAGGCAGCAGUGGGGAAUAUUGGACAAUGGGGGCAACCCUGAUCCAGCCAGGCCGCGUGAGUGAUGACGGCCGUAGGGUUGUAAAGCUCUUUUCUCCGGGACGAUAAUGACGGUACCGGAGGAAUAAGCCCCGGCUAACUUCGUG